rnacentral:rRNA from 1 species
AGAGUUUGAUUCUGGCUCAGAACGAACGCUGGCGGCGUGGAUAAGACAUGCAAGUCGAACGAGAGAAUUGCUAGCUUGCUAAUAAUUCUCUAGUGGCGCACGGGUGAGUAACACGUGAGUAACCUGCCCCCAAGAGUGGGAUAGCCCCGGGAAACUGGGAUUAAUACCGCAUAAAAUCGCAAGAUUAAAGCAGCAAUGCGCUUGGGGAUGGGCUCGCGUCCUAUUAGUUAGUUGGUGAGGUAACGGCUCACCAAGGCGAUGACGGGUAGCCGGUCUGAGAGGAUGUCCGGCCACACUGGAACUGAGACACGGUCCAGACACCUACGGGUGGCAGCAGUCGAGAAUCAUUCACAAUGGGGGAAACCCUGAUGGUGCGACGCCGCGUGGGGGAAUGAAGGUCUUCGGAUUGUAAACCCCUGUCAUGUGGGAGCAAAUUAAAAAGAUAGUACCACAAGAGGAAGAGACGGCUAACUCUGUGCCAGCAGCCGCGGUAAUACAGAGGUCUCAAGCGUUGUUCGGAAUCACUGGGCGUAAAGCGUGCGUAGGCGGUUUCGUAAGUCGUGUGUGAAAGGCGGGGGCUCAACCCCCGGACUGCACAUGAUACUGCGAGACUAGAGUAAUGGAGGGGGAACCGGAAUUCUCGGUGUAGCAGUGAAAUGCGUAGAUAUCGAGAGGAACACUCGUGGCGAAGGCGGGUUCCUGGACAUUAACUGACGCUGAGGCACGAAGGCCAGGGGAGCGAAAGGGAUUAGAUACCCCUGUAGUCCUGGCAGUAAACGGUGCACGCUUGGUGUGCGGGGAAUCGACCCCCUGCGUGCCGGAGCUAACGCGUUAAGCGUGCCGCCUGGGGAGUACGGUCGCAAGAUUAAAACUCAAAGAAAUUGACGGGGACCCGCACAAGCGGUGGAGUAUGUGGCUUAAUUCGAUGCAACGCGAAGAACCUUACCUGGGCUUGACAUGUAAUGAACAACAUGUGAAAGCAUGCGACUCUUCGGAGGCGUUACACAGGUGCUGCAUGGCCGUCGUCAGCUCGUGUCGUGAGAUGUUUGGUUAAGUCCAGCAACGAGCGCAACCCCUGUUGCCAGUUACCAGCACGUAAAGGUGGGGACUCU